rnacentral:rRNA from 1 species
AUUGAACGCUGGCGGCAGGCCUAACACAUGCAAGUCGAGCGCGCGGCGGACGGGUGAGUAAUGUCUGGGGAACUGCCUGUUGGAGGGGGGUAACUACUGGAGACGGUAGCUAAUACCGCAUACCCUCAGAUGUGCCCAGAUGGGAUUAGCUAGUGGGGGGGGGAAUGGCUCACCUAGGCGACGAUCCCUAGCUGGUCUGAGAGGAGGACCAGCCACACGGGAACUGAGACACGGUCCAGACUCCUACGGGAGGCAGCAGUGGGGAAUAUUGCACAAUGGGCGCAAGCCUGAUGCAGCCAUGCCGCGUGUGUGAAGAAGGCCUUCGGGUUGUAAAGCACUUUCAGCGGGGAGGCGUUACCCGCAGAAGAAGCACCGGCUAACUCCGUGCCAGCAGCCGCGGUAAUUC